CUGAACGCUAGCGGCAGGCCUAAUACAUGCAAGUCGAGCGGCAAGUUGAGUAGUAAUACUUGACCUAGAGCGGCGCACGGGUGCGUAACGCGUAUGCAACCUACCUUUUACUGGGGGAUAGCCCGGAGAAAUCUGGAUUAAUACCCCAUGGUAUCUACGGAUCGAAUGGUUUGUAGCUUAAAGAUUUAUCGGUAAAAGAUGGGCAUGCGUCUGA
rnacentral:rRNA from 1 species